rnacentral:rRNA from 1 species
GACGAACGCUGGCGGCGUGCCUAACACAUGCAAGUCGAACGAGCGGCGGACGGGUGAGUAAUGUCUGGGAAACUGCCCGAUGGAGGGGGAUAACUACUGGAAACGGUAGCUAAUACCGCAUACCAUCGGAUGUGCCCAGAUGGGAUUAGCUAGUAGGUGGGGUAACGGAUCACCUAGGCGACGAUCCCUAGCUGGUCUGAGAGGAUGACCAGCAACACUGGAACUGAGACACGGUCCAGACUCCUACGGGAGGAAGCAGUGGGGAAUAUUGCACAAUGGGCGCAAGCCUGAUGAAGCCAUGCCGCGUGUAUGAAGAAGGCCUUCGGGUUGUAAAGUACUUUCAGCGAGGAGGCGUUACUCGCAGAAGAAGCACCGGCUAACUCCGUGCCAGCAGCCGCGGUAAUAC